rnacentral:rRNA from 1 species
AUUGAACGCUGGCGGCAUGGCUAAAACAUGCAAGUCGAGCGCGAAAGAGGAGCAAUCCUCAAGUAGAGCGGCGAAAGGGUGAGUAAUACGUUCCUACGUACCUCGAGGUCAGGGAUAGCCAGGGGAAACUCUGGGUAAUACCUGAUGUGGUCGAGAGAUCAAAGGCUUGCCGCCUUGAGAGCGGGGAACGUCCUAUCAGCUAGUUGGUGAGGUAACGGCUCACCAAGGCUUUGACGGGUAGCGGGUGUGAGAGCAUGGCCCGCCACAUCGGAACUGAGACACUGUCCGGACUCCUACGGGAGGCUGCAGUAACGAAUCUUCCGCAAUGCGCGCAAGCGUGACGGAGCAAUGCCGCGUGCAGGAUGAAGCCCUUCGGGGUGUAAACUGCUGUCAGGGUUUAGAAACACAAUGAUCAAACCCAAAGGAAGAGACGACUAACUACUGUGCCAGCAGUCGCGGUAAUACAGAGGUCUCGAGCGUU